AGGAUGAACGCUGGCGGCGUGCCUAACACAUGCAAGUCGAACGUCCUGUCUCGCAAGAGGCAGGGAGUGGCGGACGGGUGAGUACCACGUGGGUCAUCUACCGUGAGGUGAGGAAUACCGGCGAGAAAUCGCCGACAAGACCGCAUAGGCUCGGUGCAAGUCGAGCAAAGCUCUUUCGAGAGAGGGAGCGCCACACGAGGAGCCUGCGCCCGAUUAGCUAGCUGGUGGAGUAACGGUUCACCAGGGCGACGAUCGGUAGCUGGUCUGAGAGGACGAUCAGCCACACUGGGAUUGAGAACGGCCCAGACUCCUACGGGGGGCAGCAGUGAGGAAUUUUCGUCAAUGGGGGCAACCCUGAACGAGCAACGCCGCGUGCAGGAAGAAGGUUUUCGGAUCGUAAACUGCUUUUCUCGAGGAAGAGAACGGACGGUACCCGAGGAAUCGAGCCCCGGCUAACUACGUGCCAGCAGCCGCGGU
rnacentral:rRNA from 1 species